CCUACGUGCGGCAGCAGUGAGGAAUAUUGGUCAAUGGGCGCGAGCCUGAACCAGCCAAGUAGCGUGAAGGAUGACUGCCCUACGGGUUGUAAACUUCUUUUAUAAAGGAAUAAAGUGAGGCACGUGUGCCUUUUUGUAUGUACUUUAUGAAUAAGGAUCGGCUAACUCCGUGCCAGCAGCCGCGGUAAUACGGAGGAUCCGAGCGUUAUCCGGAUUUAUUGGGUUUAAAGGGAGCGUAGAUGGGUUGUUAAGUCAGUUGUGAAAGUUUGCGGCUCAACCGUAAAAUUGCAAUUGAUACUGGCAGUCUUGAUUACAGUUGAGGUAGGCGGAAUUCGUGGUGUAGCGGUGAAAUGCUUAGAUAUCACGAAGAACUCCGAUUGCGAAGGCAGCUUACUAAACUGCCACUGACAUUGAUGCUCGAAAGUGUGGGUAUCAAACAGGAUUAGAUACCCUUGUAGUC
rnacentral:rRNA from 1 species